rnacentral:misc_RNA from 1 species
GUUGUUAAUUUCUUAUUAUGCUAUGUUUCCUAAUUCAAAAUGCACUAGAGGACAAAUUGAAGUCACAAAGUGUUGUGACCAUCCUUAUUAUGUAUAUUUGAUGCUUAAUAUGUAAUGAAUUUAUUGCAUGUCACCUAGGUAGUUUGAUUUUUAAAAUUGUCUAAUUUUGAUUGCCUUGUGCUUCCGCGCCUUUACUGAAGUAGUCACCGAGAGCAUGGUUUGACAAAUUUAGUAAGCCAGGAUUUCCUUUAGGUUUCACCAAAACAAUGUUGAUACCCUAUUUAUUAAACACCAUAGAGGCAAGAUCAUACUGCUUAUUAUCUAUGUUGAUGA